CUGUACCUAGGAAAUUCUUUUAAACUUAAGACUUGUUAGCAAGAAAAAAAGUACAUCCAUAGCUAAAAAGUAUUUAAUAUAUAAUAUUCAUCUGCGAAAGCCAAUAUCACAAUACAAAUUUAUAACAAACCUCUCCUCUUUUUUUUUUUUUAUAAAUCAUUUGGCUUGAGCAAUAAUUCUUGUUUUCUAGCUUCUAGCACUCGUUCUUUUUUUUUUCACAAAUCAAUUCAGCUUCUUCCAAUGGACUUUUCACAUUAUUUUGUUUUCUUAAUACCUUAUUUUUUUUUUUUUUUUGGUGCUGUUCCAGAUGUAGCCAAUUUCAGGUCUGUAGGCAUUGCUACUAUUUGCAUGCCUUGCACUAAUUUGGUGAUUAGCCAAAUUAAACAGGGAAGAAAUAUUAAACCAGCUGUAGCACUGCUACAAGGGGAAGAAACUUAGCUUCUUCUACUACUCUAUCCCCGAUAUAUUAUCCCACCAAUUAGUGGUCAUUACUGAAUUUAAUUUUUGGACUGGCACAUGGGCCAUUUUUCUGAUAUCCUUGGCGAUAUCUAGAAUGGCAUUUUUAUUGUCAUUGAAAACAACAAUCUUAUGUAUUAAUUUUCUCACAGAACACCCCUUCUUUUAGCCAAUAAAUAGUCUAAAGCCAGCAGCUCUGGCUUUGCAUCACUGACUGGCUAUUAAUUUCAUAGUUCCAGCUGUUUCACUGGUUAUGAUUUCUACAACAGCUUGGAGUUUCAUAAUGCAAAAAUUGGGGUUCGAUAUCCCCAACUUCCAUCUUGUGCCCAAGAAUGUUUCCAAUAUGCGUUCAGGGGCCAUCUCUCAUCUCCCCCCCCUGCUGCCGCAGCUUUGGGCCGAGCGGGCUCUAUUCAGCCGCUCGCUCUGCAGGGGCCCACUUGCGUCCUUGCCAGUCACUUGCGUGCUGACCCUGGGGCAAAGCCCGUGUCCCCUCUAUCUUCGCUGUGCCGUCCCUUCACACACAGGACUGGCAUGUUCUCACACUCAGCUCCCACCACAGCCGAGGGGCAGAGCCCGGAGUCCACAGUGCUCUGGUCUGGGGCUCCUCUGCUGGGCCAGCUCGCUCCUCAGCAGCAAACCUCACCCAGCACCGCUGCCGGGCCAGCGAGCGCUGCUGGCACCCUGCACCCCUCGAGACCCCGGCACAGACACGGCGGGUCCCCCUCCAGCAGCACCACUCACGAACCGCCCUCUGCACCCUUCACAUCGGCUGGGAGAGGACCGGGAGCCGCUGCUCUGGGCCCCGCUGUUCACCACUUACAGGGACCGGGUCCUGCUACAGCCGCUUUACAUAAAAGCAAUAAAACAACACUUAAACCAAGCAGCUCCUAACCCAGCGCUCCAGAUGCUCCUAACAUCCCCUAUUUCAGGCACAAUUCUCACCUCUAAUCAUGCUUGAAAGUUUUUUCUCCCCACAAGCCAGUGCUCACUCUUCAGAGCCAACAAGACACUUCUCGCUCUCUUUCUAAAAAUCUUUACAACUCUAAUGAAAGGAAUCACAAACCUCUCUCUUUCUCUCUCUGCCAUUACCAUCUCACCACUCUUUACACCACAUCCCUCCAGAAUCUCCACUACAUGAAUUACUCUGUUUCAGAAUCAACUACAAAUUCCAACACCUCUUUUUGGGGACCCUCCCCAAAGCCAUCAAAGGUGCUAGACACAGAGACCAGUCAGCUAGCCAGCUACUUUUACCAACUAAAACAAACAUGCAAUUACUAUUUCCACUGCCUUGAACAGAUCUUCAGUCAAGCUAGAAAUGAAGACACAGACAUCAUUCUUCUCUGAAUUUUCUUCUACAAGUACAAAGGAGUCCAUCUUCACACAGCUGCUUAAUGUGAAUAAUCUCUAGUGUAACUUUUCUCAUGACAAGAUAUGAUCAGGUCUUUUAUUCUUACAGGCAUUUAGAUACAUUGACAAGUUUCUGACAAUACCUUUAUGUUUCAACAGUACUUGCAGCUUACAUUCCAUGAACAAUCUACAGUAAGAACCAGUCUUACAAUUGUUUUCAAACUCUUCUUUCACAAAAUAAGAUUCAUCUCUAAAUUGACACAUGUACUUAUUAAAAUAGACCAAGUUUAGAGUCUCCACAAUUCUCUUCUUAAUUCAAAACACCAACAAUCCUAAUUCUAAUCUUUUAACUGGGUCCACUUCUGCUUUUUUAAUAAGCACAGCUACAAAACAACACAAGCACUUCUAGAGACAUGUGCACUCUCUUGGCAAAUUCAAAAGAACAAGAAAUCAUGGCAGUUCUGAGCCUGAUCUUCACCUAAACACACCAUCACAAUAACUCUUUAGAAAUCAUCAGAGAGAUGAUCAGCAUUUCAUAUUGUGAAAAGAAAGACAAAAUAAUUUUCAGCAGCAGUAAAAAGACUUACAACAAUCCCCAGGAUUUUGCUUUUAGGCUGGCACCAGGUUCUGCUGUUAAGAACCAUGGGCUGUGCCCAUCAGCACGGGACACAAAUAACAUUAGGGUUAACAGCUCUAACACUUAUUGACAACCUGAUAAGUUUUCACCUCAAGAAGUGACGACUAUGCAAAUUACUGUAACUUGCCUUUAAAAUUAAAAUCAACCACAAAAUGCUACGAUAUUCACUAAAGUAAAGAAAUUGGAGGCAUACUAAGAAAUUGGUUUGUUUCUCUACAAAAUAAAUAUUGCACUCAAUCAAGAAAAAACA
ensembl:lncRNA